rnacentral:rRNA from 1 species
UACGUAGGGUGCGAGCGUUAAUCGGAAUUACUGGGCGUAAAGCGUGCGCAGGCGGUUUUGUAAGCCAGAUGUGAAAGCCCCGGGCUUAACCUGGGAAUGGCAUUUGGGACUGCAAGGCUGGAGUGUGGCAGAGGAGACUGGAAUUCCUGGUGUAGCAGUGAAAUGCGUAGAUAUCAGGAGGAACACCGAUGGCGAAGGCAGGUCUCUGGGCGAACACUGACGCUCAUGCACGAAAGCGUGGGGAGCAAACAGG